GUUCUCACUUUAACAGCACAUACACUAAAACUGGAACAAUACAGAGAAUAUCCUCAUGGCCCUAUGCAAGGAUGAUGCAUAAACCAAAGCAUUCCAUAUAUAC
ensembl:snRNA U6 U6 spliceosomal RNA